rnacentral:rRNA from 1 species
UACGUAGGGGGCAAGCGUUGUCCGGAUUUAUUGGGCGUAAAGAGCGUGUAGGCGGCCAUGCAGGUCAGCUGUGAAAACUCGAGGCUCAACCUCGAGACGUCGGUUGAAACCGUAUGGCUAGAGUCCGGAAGAGGAGAGUGGAAUUCCCGGUGUAGCGGUGAAAUGCGCAGAUAUCGGGAAGAACACCCGUGGCGAAGGCGGCUCACUGGACCAUUACUGACGCUGAUGCACGAAAGCUAGGGGAGCAAACAGG